rnacentral:rRNA from 1 species
GAUGAACGCUGGCGGCGUGCCUAAUACAUGCAAGUCGAACGGAAGGACGAUAAGCUUGCUUCUCUGAUGUUAGCGGCUGACGGGUGAGUCACGCGUGGAUCACCUACUUCUCAUACUGGGAUAAUUACGGGAAACCGGAUCUAAUACCAGAUAAUAUUUUGUACCGCAUGGUGCAAAAGUGCAUGACGGCCUUGCUGUCACUAAUAGAGGGCUCCGGGUUGCAUUAGCUGGUUGUUAAGGUAACGGCCUACCAAGGCGACGAUGCGUAGCUGACCGGAGAGGAUGAUCGGCCACACUGGAACUGAGACACGGUCCAGACUCCUACGGGAGGCAGCAGUAGGGAAUAUUAGGCAAAGGGCGCAAGCCUGACCCAGCAAGACCGCGUGGGUGAAGAAGGCCUUCGGAUCGUAAAGCCCUUUUGUUGGGGAAGAACAGCUGUAGGUUGAAACGCGGCUGUCGUGACGGUACCCAAUAAAAAAGCACCGGCUAACUACGUG